GAUGAACGCUGGCGGCGUGCCUAAUACAUGCAAGUCGAGCGAACGGACGAGAAGCUUGCUUCUCUGAUGUUAGCGGCGGACGGGCGAGUAACACGUGGAUAACCUACCUAUAAUACUGGGAUAACUUCGGGAAACCGGAGCUGAUACCGGAUAAUAUUUUGAACCGCAUGGUUCAAAAGUGAAAGACGGUCUUGCUGUCACUUAUAGAUGGAUCCGCGCUGCAUUAGCUAGUUGGUAAGGUAACGGCUUACCAAGGCGACGAUGCAUAGCCGACCUGAGAGGGUGAUCGGCCACACUGGAACUGAGACACGGUCCAGACUCCUACGGGAGGCAGCAGUAGGGAAUAUUGCACAAUGGGCGCAAGCCUGACGCAGCCAUGCCGCGUGAGUGAUGAAGGUCUUCGGAUCGUAAAGCUCUGUUAUUGGGGAAGAACAUAUGUGGAUGAAACUGUGCACGUUUUGACGGUACCUAAUGAAAAAGCACCGGCUAACUUCGUG
rnacentral:rRNA from 1 species